rnacentral:rRNA from 1 species
CUACGUAGGGGGCGAGCGUUGUCCGGAAUGAUUGGGCGUAAAGGGCGCGUAGGCGGCGCGGUAAGUCUGGAGUGAAAGUCCUGCUUUCAAGGUGGGAAUUGCUUUGGAUACUGCCGCGCUUGAGUGCAGGAGAGGUUAUCGGAAUUCCCGGUGUAGCAGUGAAAUGCGUAGAGAUCGGGAGGAACACCAGUGGCGAAGGCGGGUAACUGGACUGCAACUGACGCUGAGGCGCGAAAGUGUGGGGAGCAAACAGGAUUAGAUACCCUGGUAGUCCACACUGUAAACGAUGAAUGCUAGGUGUAAGAGGUAUCGACCCCUUUUGUGCCGGAGUCAACACAAUAAGCAUUCCGCCUGGGGAGUACGGCCGCAAGGUUGAAACUCAAAGGAAUUGACGGGG